UGCCUCUCUUCUUUCUCAGCCGUUUCUCAAACUAAAGCCUCAAUUCUCUGCCUCAAACCCUAAUUGAAUUGUAUAAUUGAAUUAUGAAGAAGAAAAGAUCAAACCUUACAGAUCUGAAGCCAUCUCUUUGUACUAGUUGAAGGAAAUUUCAAAAGAGAUAGAGGAAUUAAUCUGUUUGUUUGUUCAAUUGUGUGAUAAAGAUGAGAGCCAGUCUUCCUUCUAACGUACGCAGACAUACAGGGAAGAAGAAAGAAAAGAUUAUCCACAAUAUUCCGGACUUAUAUCAAUCAACAGGUUAAUGACCUUUUCUAUUCUUUUUUCAGAUCAAGUUUGGUCUUUUAUCUCUUUUAAGUUUUUUUUUUCUAUGUCGAUUCAUUAAAUUUGGUUGUUUUUUUUUCUUGAUUCAUACACAGACAUACAUUGAUGACGAAAAAGAAGAAGAUCCACCACAUACAAAGAAAUCCAGACUUAAUAUCAAUCAACAGGUUUAUGACUUUUUCUUUUCUUAGAUCAAGCUUGAUUCUUUUAAAAUUUUUUCCCCAAGUCUCAAUUGAUUAAAUUUGGGUAUUUCUUCUUCCUAAUUCAUACACAGACAUUCAAAGAAGAACAAAAUCUACCAUAUACAAUGAAUUCAGACUUAUAAUGUCAAACAACAGGUUUGUGACCUUUUCUACUAUAUUAAUAAGAUCAAGUUUAGUUUUUUUUUAUCUCUUCCACUUGUUUAUUCAAGUCUCAAUUCAUUAAAUUUGGGUUUUUCUUCUUAAUUCGUACAGACAUACAAAGAAGAAGAAGCAGUAGAAGAUCCAUCACAUUCGAGUUUAGACCUAUAAUAUCAAUGAACAGGUUUGUAACAUUUUCUAUUCUUUUUCCAGAUUUUGAUUCUUUAUCUCUUCAAGUUUUCUUGUUAAGUCUCACCUCAUUAAAUUUGGGUGUUUCUUCUUAAUUCUUAUCAGAUCAGGGAUACAGCCUUCGCUGUUUGAGUGAUCUUUUUGUAAAGAAUUUGUUGGUUCAAAUUGAUACUUUCACAACAAAACAGUAGUCAAUCAGUGAGUGUUUAAUCUAAAGGUUAGUUCUUUUCCAUUACAAGUUGAUUAGCUAUAUUGGAAAUCCACGUGAUAAAUUACGCCACAUCUACACAACCACAACAUAUUGCUGUCAGCACAAUAAACUAUCAUCAAAAUAAUGUGUUUUACCUCAUCUGCCUAUCCAUAAAAAUAGUUGGUCUUGUUUACCUAUAAGAAAUCUGCUAGCACACUCUAGACAAUACAAAAUUAAUAAUCCAAUUAAGAUGUAUAACCACCAGUAGUUAAAGCUGACUUUUUCUAAAGAGAUAAGGGGUCUGAAUUUCUCUUAUUUUACUUGCAUAGUUCUAAGGAGAUUUUCUCCUGGUUGACAUCAUAUAUCUUAGAUGCAUUAAAAAAGCAUGUAUCAACUGGUUUUUAUGAAAUCAUAUUCAUGAGAUAAGACCAGUAGAAUUAUGAAGUUUAACACUCUAUGGUCAUGUUUCCUUGUAAUGGAAACUUUCCCCUCUCUAGGAAGCUGUUGCCUCAUUUAGCAAACUUCAAAGCAUAAAUAGUUAGAUUAUCUCCUGGUUGACAUCUAAUAUCUUAGAUGCAUCAAAAAACAUGUAUCAAGUAUCUCAUAUCCAUGAGAUAAAACCUGUAGAAUUUGAAGUUUUGACAUCUAAUAUCUUAGAUGCAUCAAAAAACAUGUAUCAAGUAUCUCAUAUCCAUGAGAUAAAACCUGUAGAAUUUGAAGUUUAACACACUAAGGUCAUGUUUCCUUGUAAUGGAAACUUCCCCCCCCCUCCCCCCCCCCUCCCCAGGAAGCUGUUACCUCAUUUAGCAAACUACAAAUCAUAAAAAGUUUGGAGUCAUAACUGUCUGCAGUAACAGAAAAGCUGAUAGAGACUAAGUAACACACUCAACCUGUCAAAUAUGCCCAUGUUAAUUUCGGAAUGCAUUUUUAUGAACUCAUAUAUUUACCGCUUGUCCUUUUUCUUGUUUUUUGAUGCCUUUGCCUUCUUCUCUUGGUUCUGCAUCAUUUUUUUGCACUCACCAGAAGACUGGUGGGUUGAUCUCUGAGCUCCAUUUGGAAACUCCAUCUUGCAGAUACAUGCAUAGAUGUCCUUGCUAUUGGUUCCCCCUGACAGUGAAGCAAUUGCUGUGAGAGGACCACGUUGCUGUUGUGCUGCCAAUAAAAAGGUCAAAGUAAGUAUAUUUAUCUUUUCUUAACACAUAUAUAUUGUGCAUUUGAUUCCGUAUAUUUAUCUUUUCUUAACACAUAUAUAUUGUGCAUUUGAUUCCUUGCCAUGUUUAUGUUCCUAAAAUUGAUUCUGUUUAUAUCAUUUACAGCUUCACUAGGAGGAUAGUGAUGUAUGUGCAAUGUUGCACCAGGGACUGAGAGGUCUAAUAUUGACACCUUCUACUGACUAUUGACUCUUUGAGCUAACACAAUGUUUUGUGUAACCUGUAAAUUUGUAGUAAAUAGAAUUGAUUUAUUGUGUUAAAUAUUUAUUGUUCUUUAAUCUAGAUUUAGAGCAACACUAAUGUUUUGUGUAACCUUCAGAUUUGUUGUAAAUAAAAUCUGAUAUUUUUUGUUAAAU
rnacentral:lncRNA from 1 species